UGCGUGUUUGCUUUCUGUACGUAGUACUCGGCAGCGGAUGCCCUUGGCGCGCCAACUUUUUGCAACAGUAACUGAAACAGAGGCGCGACGUGACAACGAGCACAAGGUUUCAAGCGAGGAAGCUUAACGACCGAAUUUUGGAAGUUUGAACGUGCAGAAAGGGAAGGCAAAUAAGGGAGAUAGUUUACCUUUUCCCGAAGCGAAUCAUAUGUCAGAUACGCAGAUCUGGGGGUGGGUGACGAGGAGCACGAAGAUUGCUUCUUAGCCGCCACAUAAUAGCUAUCGAUUAGGUAACCGUAUCAAUUGUCGUAAAAUAAUGUCAAUUGGUCAAUGUGGAAGACAGGGAUGAACCGUCACUUGCCCUCUUGUAGUCGUCUUACCCCGUGUAUAACAGCCAUUUUCGUGCAGCCCCUCCCUUUAAAUUUCACCCCUACGGUAUACAUACUAUCCCCUCGCGCAGAUACGUGUUACACUACACGUAUAUAUCUAUCAUGUGCGUCUUUCUGUAAACCAUGAGACAUUGAACAGUAAGAUCAGAUUCUUCCUUUUGAAUUUUCCAACCUCUCCCAAUUCGAAUAUUAGAAUUGCGUUGUUAUUUGAUUUUCUUUGUCGUUAAUGAUAAUAAAAGACUCGACUUUUAAAUGAAUAAUCUUCGUUUUUUUAUUGUACAGGAAGUUACAUAUUGUGGCGUUCAAAAUAUUUUAUAAUAUAUAUUUUUUAAAUGUUAGGGUCUUGGUGAGAUGGAAAAUAGAAGGACGUUGAAACAUGGAAGAAACUGUAGUCGGCCGGAAAAUAUCUUUAUAUAUUUGGAAUCUUAAUUUACAUUUUGCUUUAUAUACAUUUAUACGUUAUGCCGCAGUUACGCUUAAUACAUUUAUUUCUUUCUUUCUUUUUUCUUUUUUAAGUGAUCUUACAAGGCUUCCUUUUUCAUAUGGUAAAGAGAUGCAUGUAUACAGGUAACUAUUCAAAUGCAGUUUUCUCUUUUUUUUUUCCAAAAAUUUGCAUUCUCUAUAAUCCCAUACUUAUCUCUUUUUUUCUUUUACUACAGCUAAGAUAACAUUAGCCGGAAUGUUGCAACACGAAGAGUCAUGUCUUACAAUUAA